UAGUCAUAGCGAACGCCGCCGCGUUACUGAUGAAGGCCUUCGGUUGGUAAAGCUCUGUUGUAAGGGAAGAACAUUCGGGAUANGAAAUGAUCUUGAACUGACGGUACCUUACCAGAAAGCCACGGCUAACUACGUGCCAGCAGCCGCGGUAAUACGUAGGUGGCAAGCGUUAUCCGGAAUUAUUGGGCGUAAAGGGUGCGUAGGCGGUUAAUUAAGUCUAUGGUGAAAGUGCGGGGCUCAACCCCGGAUGGGCAUAGAAACUGGUAUACUUGAAUGCCGGAGAAGGCAAUGGAAUUCCAUGUGUACCGGUAAAAUGCGUAUAUUUUUGGAGGAACACCAGUGGGGAAGGCGGUUGCCUGGCCUGUAACUGACGCUGAAGCACGAAAGCGUGGGGAGCAAAUAGGAUUACAUACCCUAGUAAUCCCCGCCGUAAACGAUGAAUACUAAGUGUUGGAGAAAUUCAGUGCUGCAGUUAACGCAAUAAGUAUUCCGCCUGGGGAGUAUGCACGCAAGUGUGAAACUCAAA
rnacentral:rRNA from 1 species